UAGGGAAUCUUCCACAAUGGGUGCAAACCUGAUGGAGCAAUGCCGCGUGAGUGAAGAAGGUCUUCGGAUCGUAAAGCUCUGUUGUUAGAGAAGAACACGUGCUAGGUAACUACUAGCGCCUUGACGGUAUCUAACCAGAAAGUCACGGCUAACUACGUGCCAGCAGCCGCGGUAAUACGUAGGUGACAAGCGUUGUCCGGAUUUAUUGGGCGUAAAGGGAGCGCAGGCGGUCUGUUUAGUCUAAUGUGAAAGCCCACGGCUUAACCGUGGAACGGCAUUGGAAACUGACAGACUUGAAUGUAGAAGAGGAAAAUGGAAUUCCAAGUGUAGCGGUGGAAUGCGUAGAUAUUUGGAGGAACACCAGUGGCGAAGGCGAUUUUCUGGUCUAACAUUGACGCUGAGGCUCGAAAGCGUGGGGAGCGAACAGGAUUUGNAUACCCUGGUAGUCCACGCCGUAACGAUGAGUGCUAAGUGUUGGGGGCUUUCCGGCCCUCGGUGCUGGAGCUAACGUAUUAAGCACUCCGCCUGGGGAUUACGACCGCAAGGUUG
rnacentral:rRNA from 1 species